rnacentral:rRNA from 1 species
AACGCUAGCUACAGGCUUAACACAUGCAAGUCGAGGGGUAGCACGGAAGAAGCUUGCUUCUUUGGGUGACGACCGGCGCACGGGUGAGUAACGCGUAUCCGACCUACCCAUAACUCGGGCACAGCCGCUCGAAAGAGUGAUUGAUUCCCGAUAUGUCUUUAGAGUAGAUCUAAUGAUGAAAGAUUCAUCGGUUAUGGAUGGGGAUGCGUAAGAUUAGGUAGUAGGCGGGGUAACGGCCCACCUAGCCGACGAUCUUUAGGGGUUCUGAGAGGAAGGUCCCCCACACUGGUACUGAGACACGGACCAGACUCCUACGGGAGGCAGCAGUGAGGAAUAUUGGUCAAUGGGCGGAAGCCUGAACCAGCCAAGUAGCGUGAAGGAUUACAGCCCUACGGGUUUUAAACUUCUUUUAUAUGAGAGUAAUGUGCACUACGUGUAGUGUAUUGCAAGUAUCAUAUGAAUAAGCAUCGGCUAACUCCGUGCCAGCAGCCGCGGUAAUACGGAGGAUGCGAGCGUUAUCCGGAUUUAUUGGGUUUAAAGGGAGCGUAGGCGGGAUAUUAAGUCAGUCGUCAAAGCCUGUGGCUCAACCACAGCCCUCGAUUGAUACUGGUAACCUUGAGUGCGGAUGAGGUGGAUGGAAUUCGUGGUGUAGCGGUGAAAUGCUUAGAUAUCACGAAGAACUCCGAUUG